AGCAUGUCAAUAAGCGGAGGAAAAGAAACCAACAGGGAUUGCCUCAGUAACGGCGAGUGAAGCGGCAAAAGCUCAAAUUUGAAAUCUGGCUCUUUCAGGGUCCGAGUUGUAAUUUGUAGAAGAUGCUUCGGGUGUGGUCCCGGUCUAAGUUCCUUGGAACAGGACGUCAUAGAGGGUGAGAAUCCCGUAUGUGACUGGGUACCUACGCUCAUGUGAAGCUCUUUCGACGAGUCGAGUUGUUUGGGAAUGCAGCUCAAAAUGGGUGGUAAAUUUCAUCUAAAGCUAAAUAUUGGCCAGAGACCGAUAGCGCACAAGUAGAGUGAUCGAAAGAUGAAAAGCACUUUGGAAAGAGAGUUAAACAGUACGUGAAAUUGUUGAAAGGGAAGCGCUUGCAAUCAGACUUGCGCCUAGUUGAUCAUCCGGGCUUCUGCCCGGUGCACUCGAUUAGGCUCAGGCCAGCAUCGGUUUGGGUGGUUGGAUAAAGACUUGGGGAACGUAGCCUCCUUCGGGGGGUGUUAUAGCCCCAGGUGCAAUGCAGCCUACCUGGACCGAGGACCGCGCUUCGGCUAGGAUGCUGGCGUAAUGGUUGUAAGCGACCCGUCU
rnacentral:rRNA from 1 species